ensembl:misc_RNA Metazoa_SRP Metazoan signal recognition particle RNA
GCUGGGCGUGGUGGUGCACGCCUGUAGUCUCAGCUACUCAGGAGGCUGAGACAGGAGAAUUGCUUGAACCCAGGAGGCAGAGGCUGCAGUGAGCCAAGAUCAUGCCACUGCACUGUAGCCUGGGUGACAGAGCAAGACUCAGUCUCAA